rnacentral:rRNA from 1 species
UACGUAGGGGGCAAGCGUUGUCCGGAAUCAUUGGGCGUAAAGCGCGUGUAGGCGGCCAGAAAAGUCCGCUGUGAAAACUCGAGGCUCAACUUCGAGCUGUCGGUGGAAACUUUCUGGCUAGAGUCCGGAAGAGGAGAAUGGAAUUCCUGGUGUAGCGGUGAAAUGCGCAGAUAUCAGGAAGAACACCCGUGGCGAAGGCGGUUCUCUAGGACGGUACUGACGCUGAGACGCGAAAGCGUGGGGAGCGAACAGG